CCUACGGGGGGCUGCAGUGGGGAAUAUUGGACAAUGGGCGAAAGCCUGAUCCAGCCAUGCCGCGUGUGUGAAGAAGGCCUUCGGGUUGUAAAGCACUUUCAGUGGGGAAGAAAGCCUUGGGGCUAAUACCCUCGAGGAAGGACAUCACCCACAGAAGAAGCACCGGCUAACUCCGUGCCAGCAGCCGCGGUAAUACGGAGGGUGCGAGCGUUAAUCGGAAUUACUGGGCGUAAAGCGCGCGUAGGCGGUCUGAUAAGCCGGUUGUGAAAGCCCCGGGCUCAACCUGGGAACGGCAUCCGGAACUGUCAAGCUUGAGUGCAGGAGAGGAAAGUAGAACUCCCGGUGUAGCGGUGAAAUGCGUAGAGAUCGGGAGGAAUACCAGUGGCGAAGGCGGCCUUCUGGACUGACACUGACGCUGAGGUGCGAAAGCGUGGGUAGCAAACAGGAUUAGAUACCCCAGUAGUC
rnacentral:rRNA from 1 species